AUGCUGAAUGAAUGUUGCAUAGCACCGUGCUUGAUUCUUUGCAGGUCUUCACUCCUAGCAAAUCUUCCAUCUACCUUAAACAUGUUCUAUGUAUGUUAUUUUGAAAAAUACAAUGGGUGCCAGGCGCGGUGGAUCACGCCUGUAAUCCUAGCACUUUGGGAGGCCGAGGUGGGUGGAUCACCUGAGGUCAGGAGUUUGAGACCAGCCUGGCCAAUAUGGUGA
rnacentral:lncRNA from 1 species